GACGAACGCUGGCGGCGUGCUUAACACAUGCAAGUCGAACGAAAAGGCCCUGCUUGUUUGGGGUGCUCGAGUGGCACGCGUGAGUGACACACGAGAGUCCUGCCCUUUACACUGUGAUAUGACUUCAGGACUCGGUGUAUAAUCCGAGAGAAGCGCUCCUCCUACGUGGGGUGUUGGGGAGAUUUUCCGCGGUUGGGGAUGGACUCGCGGCAUCUCAGCUUGUUGGAGGGGUUGUCGCUUACCAAGGCCUGGACGGGUAGCCGGCCUGAGAGGGUGACCGGCCACAUUGGGACUGAGAUACGGCCCAGACUCCUACGGGAGGCAGCAGUGGGGAAUAUUGCACAAUGGGCGGAAGCCUGAUGCAGCGACGCCGCGUGCGGGAUGACGGCCUUCGGGUUGUAAACCGCUUUCGCCAGUGAAGAAGCGAAAGUGACGGUACCGGGAGAAGAAGCACCGGCUAACUACGUG
rnacentral:rRNA from 1 species